CUUUUCAGAUCUUCUCAGAAAUUAAUCAAGUCCAUGGAAUGGAUAUAGACAAAAAGAUAAUUCAAGGACUAUCAGAGGUAGAGAGGCGAGGCAGGGGUGAGGACAUCAUCCUGCUAUUUUGACAGUCCCUGAAGGACAAUACAGAAGAGGACUGGAGACCACAGCAGCGAUCCUGCUCUUGCCCUACCUCUUCAAUGAGGACCCGAGUUGCCUUUAUGUCCGUGACAAGAUUUCACCGCUCUUCACAACUUUACUGCACAUCGGUGGAAAUCCAUUUCACCAUGAGAGUGAAUUCCCACUGGCCUUUGAUGGGGAGACCAUCCACGCCCCCGAGGACGUCCCCAAAAUA